UUUCGGUCUCGGAAGAGCUCUCUCCCAUUUAGAUUCAAGAUCCAGAUUAUGAGCACAUUGAAACCAGGAAAACUAUGGUAUAAGAUCUUAGGACUCUUGGGGGUGCCUUCAUAAUCUUGACGGCAUUUGAGGCCACAGCACUUCCAUCCCCUCACCAUAAACUUAACAAUAACGAUCAGAAUCCUGAAGCUAUAAGCUUAUAAAUUGAUGGAAAUUUGGGAGGUUGAAUCGGAAUUGGGGACACCUCAAUACUGAUCUGCAAAGAGAAUAGUCAUUUCUUUAGAUGAAAAAUGAGGGCAAAUGGACCCUGGGCUACAUGUGAGAGAUAUUGAUGGAACCUUCAAGACGAAGCUACAGAAGAGGUCAUAAUUGAAUUAGGAAUAUAUUAACAUUUUAGGGGAUACUUCAGAUGAAGGAUAUUUAUUCAAUAAUAAAUGAAAAGAAAUAAAGUUAUAAAUUAUG
rnacentral:lncRNA from 1 species